AGAGAGGUGUCCGAGUGGUCGAAGGAGCACGCCUGGAAAGUGUGUAUAGCCCAAAAGGUUAUCGUGGGUUCGAAUCCCAUCCUCUCUG
rnacentral:tRNA from 11 species